rnacentral:misc_RNA from 1 species
GAGAAGAACGUAGCGAAAUGCGAUAAGUAAUGUGAAUUGUAGAAUUCAGUGAAUCAUCGAGUCUUUGAACGCACAUUGCGCCCCCUGGUAUUCCGGGGGGCAUGCCUGUCCGAGCGUCAUUGCUGCCCUCAAGCACGGCUUGUGUGUUGGGCUCUCGCCCCCCGCUUCCGGGGGGCGGGCCCGAAAGGCAGCGGCGGCACCGCGUCCGGUCCUCGAGCGUAUGGGGCUUCGUCACCCGCUCUGUAGGCCCGGCCGGCGCCCGCCGGCGAACACCAUCAAUCUUAACCAGGUUGACCUCGGAUCAGGUAGGGAUACCCGCUGAACUUAAGCAUAUCAAUAAGCGGAGGA